rnacentral:rRNA from 1 species
GCCACACCCCACCCGCGCGACGUGCUGCCGGCCGCCGUCUUCCCCCCUCGACGCCGCGGCCCACCCAACCGUUGGACCGGAAUAUUCCGCCUCCCGCGAGGGACGCGCCCCCUUGCCCCGCCGCACCACGCUAGCUAGGGUUCGCUCCCUCUCCCCCUCCCCGCCUCCGCGCCGCCGACGCCGACGGCGAUGGCGCAGCGCUGGCGCUCGAAGGCGCGGCGCGACCCGGACCUGGACGACGCCGGCUCGCCCUCUCCCGCGCGGCCCCGCGCGCCCCCCAGCGACGACGAGGACGAGGCGGGCAACGAGGACCUCACCCUCGAGAUCGUCGCGCGGGCGCGGCGGCGCGGGGCCGCGGGAGGCCAGCCCGGGCUCGCCGAGGUGCUCCCCCUGUCCUCCGACGAGGAGGUGGACGAGGACGCCGUGGUGGAGCUCGGCGAGGCCGACCCCAGCAGGAGGAAGGACAAGAAGAAGAAGCAGCGCCGCAAGGAGAGGAGGAAGAAGCAGCGCAAGGAGGACGCCGCCGCCGCCGCCGCCGCCGACAAGGAGGAGCCUCAGGUUGCUGGCGCCCAGGAGGGACAAACUGGGACAGUGGAAUCAGUGCCCACCGAAAAUGGCGUUGAUGCCCCUGUAUCCGACAACACAGUUCUGCGGAAGCUUCUUCGUAUACCAAGAUACUUUGAUCCUGGGGAAACUAUAUUGGAGACUUGCUUUAACUGUGGUGAGGAAGGUCAUGUAGCUGUGAACUGCCCAAUGGAGAAGCGGAAGAAGCCUUGCUUCGUUUGUGGAUUGUUCGGACACAAUGCGAAGCAGUGCACGCAGGGUCAAGAGUGUUUCAUCUGCAAAAAAGGAGGUCAUAUGGCGAAAGAUUGCCCUGAUAAGCACACAAAGAAUACUCAGCAGUACACCACAUUGUGUUUGAGAUGCGGAGAAACCGGCCACGAUAUGUUUGGAUGUUCCAAUGAUUAUCCACCAGAUGAUGUCAAGGAAAUAAAAUGCUAUGUGUGUAACCAGAAUGGUCACCUCUGUUGCACCGACUUCUCUGAUAGUUGUUCAAAAGAAGUUACUUGUUAUAACUGUGCCCAAUCUGGUCAUACUGGUUUGGGAUGUGCCAAGCAACGUAGGGAGACAAGUGUUGCGACAACUCCGACCUUGUGCUACAAAUGUGGCGAAGAUGGUCACUUCGCACGUGGCUGCACAAAUAGUGCUAAGCCCGGCCGGUUCAAAGGCGAGUUGUCGUCGCAUGGUCGUAGAAAGGACAAAUGGAAAAAUGACUCUGGCCCUAGAUCAGCUCCUCAUGGAUCUCACAAAAGAAAAAGCCCCCUAUUCGAGGAUAGAUGGGAGACACCUCGUGGUAAAUCCAGAGCUAGGGGUGGUUGGAUUCCUGAGGACCAUGACGAUCUUCCAUCCAAGAAGUACAAAGGAAUUGGGUGGGACUCCCAAUCUACUCCUAAGAAGCCCUACAAUAAUCACCACCAUCGCUCCUCUGGCGGUGACUAUUCUACUCCUCAAGGACAAGAUUUUUCAUGGCACAACUCGCAAUAUUCACCAAGUGCGAGAAAACACGGCUCGUCUUCGUCAAGAUUCGCCAGCAACACCCAUCACCGCUUUGAAAGAAGUUAGGCUGGAGCUUACUUUUGGUUUUGUUGUUCGUUCCAUAGUAGAUCUCUUAGGGAUGUACUCUGCCUGUAAUACCGUUUCCCUGAAAGGGCUGUUUUCUGUAUCUUCAGAGUUGUAUACGUUGUGUCCAUUCCUGGUCUGGGCAUGCUUUGUGUUGCACUUCAAUGGCUGCCUACUGCAAACACGGCAUGUCACUCUGCACUCUGCACUCUGCGCCGCUAUACAGCGUAAGUUUCUGUGUACUUAUACAAGAGCGAUAUAUUAUUUCACA